rnacentral:rRNA from 1 species
UACAAGCAGUUACUACGCCACCUGGUGGAUGACUGGGCUCGGUUGCCGAAGAAGGUCGUGCCAAGCAGCGAUAUGCUUCGGGGAGGCGCAUGGAACCUUUGAUCCGAAGAUGGCCGAAUGGGACUUCCUAGACCUAAGUCUAAUCCUUCACAGGAUGGGGAACGCCCCGAAUUGAAACAUCUUAGUAGGGGCAGGAAAAGAAAUCAAACGAGAUGGGGUAAGUAAAGGCGAUCGAACACCCCACAGGGCAAACCGAAUCCCGCAGCGAGAGUUGCGGGAGAUGUGGAUGGCCCGGUUACGUCCCAACUCUCAUAUCCGAAGUUCGUGUGGAACGCCGGUGCCAGAGAGGGUGACAGCCCCGUAGGAGAAAGAGAGCAGGACGAUUUCCGGGACCCAAGAGUAGCGUGCGUUGGAUAUCGCGCGUGAAUAUGGGAGGUACUAACUUCCAACCCUGAAUACAAACCGAGACCGAUAGCGUACUAGUAGCGUGAGCGAAAGUUGUAAAGCAUCCCUAGCGGGAGAAUAGCAAGACCCUGAAAUCAGGUGGUUACAGACUGAUACGGCGUGCAAGGGAAGAGGCGGUUACACCACCGCUGACCGGCGUCGUAUCGUCCGAUUCGAAAAUUGGCCCAUGGAGUUUCUUUCACUGGCAAGGUUAAGCACGCAAGUGCGAAGCCGCAGGGAAACCGACAGUCCGCAGCAUUGCAAGGGACGGAGUGUGCUCGCUCGGAGUCAGUGGAUGGAUACCCGAAGCCGGUCGAUCUAUGCCUGGGCAGGGUGAAGCCCUCUGGAAAGAGGGUGGAGGCCCGCACCGGUACUGAUGUGCAAAUCGUUCGGAUGACCUGGGUAUAGGGGCGAAAGACCAAUCUAGGCCGGCAAUAGCUGGUUCCUCUCGAAACUGCUCGAAGGCAGACCUCCGUGGAGGCGGGGCGUGCGGUAGAGCACUGAUUGAGUGUUUAGGGGGCGAAAGUCCUCGGCAUUCUGUCAAACUCCGAAUGUGCGUCCGUCGUAGAAGCGGGGCAGUGAGGGCACUGGGGUAAGCUUAGUGUCCGCGAGGAGAACAAUCCAGACCGAAGUUAAGGUCCCAAAGUGACCGCUAAGUGUUAAAGAACAAAUGGUGUCUGGCAGCAGAGACAGCUGGGAGGUUGGCUUAGAAGCAGCCAUCCUUUAAAGAGUUCGUAACAGAUCACCAGUCGAGUUUCUGGGCCCAGAAAAUGGACGGGACUAAGCGGUUCACCGAUACUUCGGGCCACCGAAAGGUGAUGCGGUAGAGAGGCGUCGUGCGUGGAUGGAAGCAGGGGCGUGAGUUCCUGUGGACCGCGUUCGAAUGAUAAUCAUGGGAAGAGUAGUAGCGUAGACGGGUGAGAAUCCCGUCCGCCGUAGGGGCUAGGGUUCCUCGACGAUGUUCAUCAGUCGAGGGUUAGUCGGUCCUAAGGUUUCCCCUAACAGGAGAAAUCGAAAGGGAAGCAGGUUAAUAUUCCUGCACCAGUCCGUAUUUUGUCCAGUUCUUGACACAUCGGGUGCGACGGAGCACUCCUGUCGGAGUGUUGCCGGCCGCGAUAAAGCCGUGGAGAACCGUAAUGGUGAGAAGCAGCCUAAGCGACCGGGAGGCGGAGUAUUUCGCUUCCGUUCUAUCCUGGUGUCCGUGAAAAGAGAGCUGGAGCCGUGCUGACUGACCGUACCGAGAUCUGACACAGGUGCCCCUAGGUGAGUAGCCUAAGGCGUCGCGGCAUAAUCAAGGCAAGGGAAUUCGGCAAAUUGGCCCCGUACCUUUGGUAGAAGGGGUGCCAGCCUUGCAGAAGGCUGGUCGCAGUGACCAGGGAGCUCCGACUGUUUACUAAAAACACAGGUGGCUGCUAGUCCGUAAGGAUGUGUAUAGCCGCUGAAUCCUGCCCAGUGGCGGUAUCUGAAACCCGGUUUCACCCGGACGAAGGACCGCUAAACGGCGGGGGUAACUAUGACCCUCUUAAGGUAGCGUAAUACCUUGUCGCUUAAUUGGCGACUUGCACGAAUGGCCUAACGAGAGCUCUACUGUCCCUGCCUUGAGCCCGAUGAAAUUGACGUACUGGCGCACAGUCCAGUACGUCCCAGCCGCAAGCGAAGACCCCGUGGAGCUUUACUGCAGCCUGUCGUUGUGGUACGAGUUGUAAUGUGCAGGGUAGACGGGAGCCAUCGAAACCUGGGCGCCAGCUCAGGUGGAGGCAACGAUGAAACACCGUCCUUUACGAUCCGUCCCGCUAACCCCUUAGGGGGAACACCGAUAGGUGGGCAGUUUGGGUGGGGCGCCACUCCCUCGAAAAAAUAACAAGGGAGCUCAAAGGUCAGCUUAGGUAGGUCAGAAAUCUACCGUAAAGUGCAAGGGCAAAAGCUGGCUUGACGUGGUUUGGCACCACAACAAACCACGAUGCGAAAGCAGGACCUAGCGAACCAACCAGCCCCGUUAGUAGGGGCGGUUGAUAACAGAAAAGUUACCCCGGGGAUAACUGAGUUGUCUGGAGCAAGAGCCCAUAUCGACCUCCAGGCUUGCUACUUCGAUGUCGUCUCUCUCUAUCCUGGGUGUGCAGAAGCACCCAAGGGUGGGGUUGUUCGCCCAUUAAAAGGGAUCGUGAGAUGGGUUUAGUCCGUCGUGAGACAGGAUUGUUGCUAUGUGCUGGGACCGUUUUGUGCCUGAAGGAAAGGGCCCCUUAGUACGAGAGGAACGGGGGCUCGCAGCCACUAGUUUACCAGUUGUCCGACAGGGCAUUGCUGGGCAGCCACGCUGCAAGGGAUAAGAGCUGAAAGCAUCUAAGCUCGAAACCCACCCUAAGACGAGGCACGUUGACGCCCGUAGAAGACGGGACGAUAGGACCGGGGUGUACGCACCGAGAAUUAUAGUGACGCUAGAAACCGCUUCGGCGGUGGAAGGUACCACUUCGAGGUGUUCAGCCCGCCGGUUACUAAGAGUUAUUACUGCUAUCA